rnacentral:rRNA from 1 species
UACGGGGGGUGCAAACGUUGCUCGGAAUUAUUGGGCGUAAAGCGCACGUAGGCGGUCUUGUAAGUCGGGUGUGAAAGCCCGGGGCUUAACCCCGGAAGUGCACUCGAAACUGCAAGGCUUGAGUAUGGAAGAGGGUCUCGGAAUUCCCGGUGUAGAGGUGAAAUUCGUAGAUAUCGGGAGGAACACCAGAGGCGAAGGCGGCUACCUGGACAAUUGCUGACGCUCAGGCACGAAAGCGUGGGGAGCAAAAGGG